AGGUUAUCUAGAUUAUUGGUGCCAGUCGUGGAAUUGGUUUGAACAAGGUAUAUAUCAACCUAUUCAAAACCUAUAUAGUAGUAAUUCAUCUGUCUGUAGACGAUGAAUGGCAUGCCAUUACUCAUAACCCAGAUGCUUUCGUUGUUAAUAUUGGUAAAACUUUCAUGGUAUAUGGUAUGUAAUGCUUCACUUAAUUUUCUUGUGUGUGUAUAUAUAUAUAUAUUUAAUAGGGUUUUGCCUUGCAAAUAGCAUUAUUAUAUACAACAUAUGAUCUUUAAAAGGGAUUGUUAUUUGUUUUGCCUCAUGCUCCUAACAUUGACACUCGGUGGGACAUUUUAAAACAGAGGAUUGGGGAGUUUUCUUCUUGUUGUUUUCUGGCAUUUUCUAAAUUUUGUUUGACCAAAAGUUUUGAUAUCUUUCUUUUUUAUUUAGGUUUUUUAUUUAUUUGUAUGUGAUGAUUUAUUUGCAAUAAGUUGUUUGAUUUAAUUCUGAAAGUUAGCUUUCUUAGCAUUAAUUUAGUUAUGAGUAUAUAUAUGCACUCUUGUAUCUAUUGGGUUCUCUUUUUAUGAUGCAAACCGGUUGUUUGUGAUAUUGGAUUUUGAAGUGUGAUGUGUGAAAUUUAUGCAAGUUUCCCUUACUGCAGUAGCUAAUGACAGCUUGGGGAAGAUUACAUGACGAUGGCUUGCUAGGUUCAUAACUUCGACGAAGGCUCAAGGAAGACGAUAUAGCAGGUGGACUAGCAUACUAGCAUUCAUUUCCUUUCAUUUUGUUCAAAAUUGAUGGCAUUCACUUUUUUUUUUCCUGAUUUUCUUCUUGUUUUUAUCAUAUACGGAUUGGUAAGAGAGAGUGUUUUUAACUCUUCAUUAAGUACUUUUUGCUAGCUGGUAAUUGUAAUGGGAAUUAACAAUACUCUUUUUUUUUUGUUAGGAUCCAGUUGCUUUAAAUUUAUAUUUUGUUUAAGGAAGAUUUUUGAGUGAUAGUCUUUAUAAUGUGUUUAUGAUUU